AAAUUGAAGAGUUUGAUCAUGGCUCAGAUUGAACGCUGGCGGCAGGCCUAACACAUGCAAGUCGAACGGUAACAGGAAACAGCUUGCUGUUUCGCUGACGAGUGGCGGACGGGUGAGUAAUGUCUGGGAAACUGCCCGAUGGAGGGGGAUAACUACUGGAAACGGUAGCUAAUACCGCAUAACGUCGCAAGACCAAAGAGGGGGACCUUCGGGCCUCUUGCUAUCGGAUGUGCCCAGAUGGGAUUAGCUAGUAGGUGGGGUAACGGCUCACCUAGGCGACGAU
rnacentral:rRNA from 1 species